CAAUGCCACUGCCUCCCGUCAGGCAGACAGCCAAGCCAAUAACCAGGUGCAGCCACUAGCGAUGGAGACUCCACCAGUCCAGCCAAUGCUUGUCACGACGGACCAGUUCAACCUGCUCUUCCAGCAGGUCUAAACUUAGAUGGUUGCCAUCUAGAUGGUACAAACCAUUCUUGCACUUCAACUGAUGGCACCGUAACCUGAUUAGGCUACUCCCGCACCCCCUUCAGUGGUGCCACCAGUAUUUUUCUCAAC
rnacentral:lncRNA from 1 species